UUUAUUUUCUUUCUUUCUUUUUUUCUUAAAGAUUUAUUUAUUAUAUGUAAGUGCACUGUAACUGUCUUCAGACACUCAAGAGGGCAUCAGAUAUCAUUAUGGAUGGUUGUGAGCCACCAUGUGGUUGCUGGGAUUUGAAUUCAGGACCUUCAGAAGAGCAGUCAGUGCUCUUGACCGCUGAGCCAUCUCUCCAGCCCCUCUCGUUUAUUUUCUAAAUGCAUUGAACGUGGUCUGGGGAUUCACGUGGGACAACAUCAUCGUGAUUCUCUCUCUGUGUAGAUUCUUGUCAUGUUUGUUGCUUAUUGCUGAAGUCAUGCUUACUUUUUACAUCUGUGUUGCAGGAAAAUACACCAUAGUCAUGCUACCUAGAGGAUGAGGGUCACAGGAAGGGGCAUUUAAAAAAUCAAGUUCUGAGAACAGUAUCAGGCACUCACCUGAGCCCAAGUGGCUGUCACUGAAAACUGUUGUCACUUAAGUCUUGAGAGUUCCUGGUGCUCAGGAAGUCCUACUUUGGUGGCAGGUGGUGAAUCAGGAGGGAAGGGGGUGUCUCUUUCCACACAGAAGCUGGGAUUAGCCUCAGGGCCCUGGGCAACUAACAGACCACAAGAGAAGUUUGUGCAGUCCUAAGAGGCCCAUAGGACCAGCAGGUGGUGCCUCAGCGGCGCCCCCUGGUGGCAGUGGUCAGAAGCUUUCUACAAACCCAUGGACCCAGAUCAGGAGAGGGUGCCUGUGUGGAUGGCAGCUGACCACAUCUGAGAAAUCCUAUACCUGAAGUUUCUAAGAAACAGAAGUGAGACUGGGGAGGCAGGGGUCGCGCUAAACCUAUCUGUCAGGGAAAUGAAGUAGGUACAAUCAGCAGGGAUUUCUCGGUAGGCUAAUUCCUUUAGAAAAGUAGACAUUUGCAAUUGACUUUUUAGAUGUGUUGUGGUCACUGAAGUUAGAAUUGGUUGCCUCUUAGCCUGUAAGAGACUGACUGAAGACCUUAACUAAAACAAACAGGCCCUUCGGGGCUAUUAGGUCACCUGGCUUUAUUUUAUUUCAUUAUUCUGGCUUUGCUUUCUCAUUUUUUACUAUUUUCUUUCUUUUCUAUGCUAUGUUUUAGAGUGAGGUGGCCUGCAGAGUAAAUUACAUGAUGACCAAAAGGGGCAGGGGGAAGAAACUAGGUAUGGAUUCUUCUAGAACUUCUUUGUUACUCGAGAAGGGUAAAAGUGGAAGGGGAGCGCAUGUUGGGACUUGAAGAAGGGCUAACCAUGGCGGAAUUUGAAUUUCUGCCUUUUGGCUUCUUUAUAUUUCUGAAAAUGGCAUCUUGCUUAUUUUGCCCUUUGAUUAUAGACAGUACAUUUCUUUUUACAUUUUCACAGUUUCCUGUUUCUUUACUACCUGGUGGUUAUAAAGGUGCACCCACAGAUGAGUUCUGUGAGUCAGAUGUGCUUGGUGUGUCAGCCUCGCUCUGCCUCCCAGGCCGUCAAAAAAACAAGGAAGAAAUCGUUUGCAGUUGCGUGCUUCUCUGUUGCUGUGAUAAAACACAGAUCAACACCAACAUGUAGGAAAGGGUUUGUUGGGAGUUAGUUCUAAUGCUUUGUCUUAAUUUGGCUCCCAAAAGCCACACUUCCAAAUGCUGAGGGUCUCUGUCCCCAGCUGGCUUCGAUUAGUAAUAAAGAAUUGCUUGGUCUACAGAGUGAGUUCCAGAACAGCCUAGGUUACAUAGAGAAACCCUGUCUUGAAAAACC
rnacentral:lncRNA from 1 species